UCCCCACAGAAGCAGUGAAUACAUUUCCAAGCUGAAUGGUUCUACCAGGUUUCUCCACUUCUGUUCAUCCCAUGUGAUAAUGAGAUGGAACAAUUAUUUUUGUACUUCAUAAACAAAGGGAAGGCCAUGGACAAGUAUUCCCAGAAAGAACCUAAUUUACCAGUUAAUGAUCAUCACUGAGGUAUUCUACUUUUAUUAGAAGAUAAAUUUCAUAAACAAAGGAAACAUGAUGGAUAUCAUCUAAGAGGAGGCAACAACUGCUGUGCAAC